UACGUAGGGUGCAAGCGUUGUCCGGAAUUAUUGGGCGUAAAGAGCUUGUAGGCGGAUUGUCGCGUCUGCUGUGAAAUUUCGGGGCUCAACCCCGAACUUGCAGUGGGUACGGGCAGACUAGAGUGUGGUAGGGGAGACUGGAAUUCCUGGUGUAGCGGUGAAAUGCGCAGAUAUCAGGAGGAACACCGAUGGCGAAGGCAGGUCUCUGGGCCACUACUGACGCUGAGAAGCGAAAGCAUGGGGAGCGAACAGG
rnacentral:rRNA from 1 species